UGGUUCUGGCAUCGAUGAAGAACGCAGCGAAAUGCGAUAAGUAAUGUGAAUUGCAGAAUUCAGUGAAUCAUCGAAUCUUUGAACGCAUAUUGCGCCCACUAGUAUUCUGGUGGGCAUGCCUGUUCGAGCGUCAUUUCGACCUUCAGAACCUAUUCUUCUAGAAUAGGCUCUGGUGUUGGGGCUUUUCUACAGUGGGCUUUCUCCCUUGUAGGCCCUUAAAGUUAGUGGCGGGCUUGCUCAGUGCUCCGAGCGUAGUAGAUUUUUGUUUAUUCUCGCUUUGGAAGCCUAGUAGGUUGCUAGCCGUUAAACCUCCUAUUUUUUAAGGUUGACCUCGGAUCAGGUAGGAAUACCCGCUGA
rnacentral:misc_RNA from 1 species